rnacentral:rRNA from 1 species
GACUCCAAUUGAACCGCAGCUUCACCCCUUGUGGUGCUCCCCCGCCAAUUCCUUUAAGUUUCAUACUUGCGUACGUACUUCCCAGGCGGCAAACUUAACGGCUUCCCUGCAGCACUGCAAUGGCCACAAGCCAAUGCAUCACUGAGUUUGCAUAGUUUACAGCUGGGACUACCCGGGUAUCUAAUCCGGUUUGCUCCCCCAGCUUUCAUCCCUCACCGUCGAACGUGUUCUGGUAGACCGCCUUCGCCACAGGUGGUCAUCAAUAGAUCAAAGGAUUUUACCCCUUCCUAUCGAGUACCGUCUACCUCUCCCACUUCCUAGUUAUGCAGUAUUCCCGGCAGCCCAUACGUUAAGCGCAUGGAUUUAACCGAAAACUUACAAAACAAGCUACGGAUGCUUUAGGCCCAAUAAUCAUCCUGACCACUUGAGGUGCUGGUUUUACCGCGGCGGCUGACACCAGAACUUGCCCACCCCUUAUUCAACAGUGUUUCUAGGACUGACAAAAGGUUUCUUUAGCAGAAACCACUCGGAUUAACCUUGUCGUGCUUUCGCACAUUGCAAAGUUUUCUCGCCUGCUGCGCCCCAUAGGGCCUGGGUCCGUGUCUCAGUACCCAUCUCCGGGCUACUCCUCUCAGAGCCCGUACCUGUAAUAGUCUUGGUGGGCCAUUACCUCACCAACAAACUGAUAGGCCGCAGUCCCAUCCUAUGGCGAUAAAUCAUUUGAAACAUAAACCAUUCCAGGCAUAAUGUUCUAUCUGGCAUUAUCCUCAGUUUCCCGAGGUUAUUCCCGUCCAUAGGGUAGAUUGACUACGCGUUACUGAGCCGUAUGCCUUGUAUUGCUACAAUGACUCGCAUGGCUUAGUAUCAAUCCGAUAGCAGUCAGGUCUGGCAGGAUCAACCGGAA